GUCCAAAUGGCUGCUGCGCAAUCCUGUGUCCACAAGUAGUAUAUUUGUAUUUAAACGUUUGGAUUUUGUUUAGAUCGUUUGCUUAAGGUGACCAAAAGGCUUCAGCAGAACCAAAGCUGGUGUUUGAAGAAGAAAGGAGUCCUAUGCUGUUGCUCCACAUAGUCUUACAUUGGAUGAGAUGUCUUGGUUGUCCUCUGAUCGCCCCGUCAUCAAAAAUGGCCAGAUUGACUGGGUGCGCAAAGCGACUCUCGAACCGGUCAUCCUGCAGAAGCUGUCUCAGAGGGAUUGGGUUUCUGCAGAUGGAGCAGCCUUUCACACGCAGCCUGCGUGCACCAGCCCCAGCUGUUAUCGGUUCCCAUGACAUCUGGAGCGUUGGCAUGACAAGGGUGUGGCAGAAGAGAAGAGGCACCAUCUUCAUUCCCAUGUGUGAAGGAAAAACUACAGUGGCUACGUCUGGACCCAUCGUUUAGUUUGUCUGUUCCGGGCUUGGAAAUCUGUGGAAGAGGGGCCUUCAUCAGUGGAACCCACCGAGACACACUGUGUCCUCGUGGUUUAGCCUGACUCAAGCUCGGCCACAUGGCGCCCCUGACGUUCACAGGACCAUCCUGCUCGUCGGC